rnacentral:rRNA from 1 species
AACGAACGCUGGCGGCAGGCCUAACACAUGCAAGUCGAGCGAAGCCUUCGGGCUUAGCGGCGGACGGGUGAGUAACGCGUGGGAACGUGCCCUUUGGUACGGAAUAGCCCCGGGAAACUGGGAGUAAUACCGUAUGUGGUCGAGAGACGAAAGAUUUAUCGCCAAAGGAUCGGCCCGCGUUGGAUUAGGUAGUUGGUGGGGUAAUGGCAUACCAAGCCGACGAUCCAUAGCUGGUUUGAGAGGAUGAUCAGCCACACUGGGACUGAGACACGGCCCAGACUCCGACGGGAGGCAGCAGUGGGGAAUCUUAGACAAUGGGGGAAACCCUGAUCUAGCCAUGCCGCGUGAUCGAUGAAGGCCUUAGGGUUGUAAAGAUCUUUCAGUGGGGAAGAUAAUGACUGUACCCACAGAAGAAGCCCCGGCUAACUCCGUGCCAGCCGCCGCCGUAAGAC